rnacentral:rRNA from 1 species
ACGGGAGGCAGCAGUGAGGAAUAUUGGUCAAUGGGCGGAAGCCUGAACCAGCCAAGUCGCGUGAAGGAUGAAGGUUCUAUGGAUUGUAAACUUCUUUUGCUCGAGGGUAAAGUGAUCUACGUGUAGGUUAUUGCAAGUAUCGAGUGAAUAAGCAUCGGCUAACUCCGUGCCAGCAGCCGCGGUAAUACGGAGGAUGCGAGCGUUAUCCGGAUUUAUUGGGUUUAAAGGGUGCGUAGGCGGGAUGUUAAGUCAGCGGUGAAAGUUUGCGGCUCAACCGUAAAAUUGCCGUUGAAACUGGCGUUCUUGAGUGUAAACGAGGUAGGCGGAAUGUGCCAUGUAGCGGUGAAAUGCUUAGAUAUGUCACAGAACCCCGAUUGCGAAGGCAGCUUACCAGCAUACAACUGACGCUGAGGCACGAAAGCGUGGGUAUCAAACAGGAUUAGAUACCCUGGUA